UCAUUAGUUAAUAACAAUUGCUGACGACUUACUGUAAAGAUAAUUGCAUACCCUUGCCUGCACUUACUUUACAGUGUGAACUCAAACAUGCCUACAACCAGAUCCCAUUUUAAAACACAUUAUUUAGGUUACAUGGUACUGUUUAGACCCCAGUAUAGUUUUUCAUUUACUUAACAGUGAGUGGUUUUAAAAGCUAAGUGGAAGCUGCAACUAGCUUAGGGAUUUUCAGAUAUCCUGGUGCCUUACACUGUAUAUGUCAGAUUCCUGUAUUGAUACUAUGUAACUUUCAGUCAUACUCCAGACAGAUUACGGAAGGUGUACAAAGGCGGGGGAGGGAGUUUCAUCAACCCACAAACCGAUAUCUCUGGCCGUCACCCACCAGAGGAAACGGCUUAGGGGCGCAGCAAAGGAACCAGGAAGUAAGAUCUCCUGGUAAAGUGUUCAUUAACUUUCAACAGCCAUCAGAUUUUUGAAAGGGAAUCUCUUCUAAUUGCCUUUGGGAGGAAACAUUAUUAAGAUAAUUGGCAAGCUGAUCUGGGAAGGUAGGCAGCUCUGUCUUGUAACAGAGAUAAAAGUUUCCUUCGCCCGGGAGUCGGUUGUUCCCGGCUGAUCCCGGGAAGCCCCGCCUGAGCCCCGGUCUGGGGCGGGCAGCUGGGAGCCGGGGCGCCGCUGUCACCCGCGCCUCUGCCUGUCACUUACCGUUGCGAAAAGCGCCGGCCGGAGCGAGGACGAGGGCGAGCACGGCGCAGAGGAGCGGCAGCCCACUCUCCAUUCUCCCUUCUCCGGGUCCGCAGGCAGACGCGGGAGAACGAGGACGUGGGGGGAAAUGCAGCAAAGAGGGGAAUCUAAGCGAUCCGAAGAGCCCCAACUCCGCCUAGAGCUGUACAAUCCUCAGCCCGUCUUGGAGAAAAGAAAGCAGCGAGGCAAUGCCUGGA